CCUACGGGAGGCAGCAGUGAGGAAUUUUCCGCAAUGGGCGAAAGCCUGACGGAGCAAUGCCGCGUGGAGGAGGAAGGCCUGUGGGUCGUAAACUCCUUUUCUCAGAGAAGAAGUUCUGACGGUAUCUGAGGAAUAAGCAUCGGCUAACUCUGUGCCAGCAGCCGCGGUAAUACAGGGGGAUGCAAGCGUUAUCCGGAAUUAUUGGGCGUAAAGCGUCCUGAGGUGGCUUACCCAGUCGACUGUGAAAGCUCAAGGCUUAACCUUGAAACGGCAGUCGAAACUUGUAAGCUUGAGUACGGUAGGGGCAGAGGGAAUUCCCGGAGGAGAGGUGAAAUUCGUAGAUAUCGGGAGGAAGGCCAAAGGCGAAAGCACUCUGCUGGGCCGAUUACUGACACUGACAGACGAAAGCUAGGGGAGCGAAAGGGAUUAGAUACCCCUGUAGUCCUAGCCGUAAACGAUGGAUACUAAGUGUUGCGCGACUCAAAACGUGCAGUGCUGCAGCUAACGCGGUAAGUAUCCCGCCUGGGGAGUAUGCCCGCAAGGGUGAAACUUAAAUGAAUUGACGG
rnacentral:rRNA from 1 species